rnacentral:rRNA from 1 species
GGAGGGUGCAAGCGUUGUUCGGAAUUAUUGGGCGUAAAGGGCGUGUAGGCGGUCCGGUAAGUCAGAUGUGAAAGCCCUGGGCUCAACCCAGGAAGUGCAUUUGAAACUACCAGACUUGAGUACGGGAGAGGAGGGGGGAAUUCCCGGUGUAGAGGUGAAAUUCGUAGAUAUCGGGAGGAAUACCAGUGGCGAAGGCGCCCCUCUGGACCGAUACUGACGCUGAGACGCGAAAGCGUGGGGAGCAAACAGGAUUAGAUACCCUGGGUAGUCCACGCCGUAAACGAUGAGCACUAGGUGUAGCGGGUAUUGACCCCCCUGCUGUGCCGUAGCUAACGCAUUAAGUGCUCCGCCUGGGGGACUACGGUCGCAAGACUA